GAUGAACGCUAGCGGCAGGCCUAACACAUGCAAGUCGAGGGAUAAGCCCUUCGGGGUGGAAACCGGCGCACGGGUGCGUAACGCGUAUGCAACCUACCUUUCACAGGGGGAUAGCCCGAAGAAAUUUGGAUUAAUACCCUAUAAUAUUGUUGGAUGGCAUCAUCUGAUAAUUAAAGUUACGAUGGUGAAAGAUGGGCAUGCGUCCUAUUAGCUAGUUGGAGUGGUAACGGCACCCCAAGGCUACGAUAGGUAGGGGUCCUGAGAGGGAGAUCCCCCACACUGGUACUGAGACAGGGACCAGACUCCUACGGGAGGCAGCAGUGAGGAAUAUUGGUCAAUGGUCGAAAGACUGAACCAGCCAUGCCGCGUGCAGGACAGACGGCCCUAGAGGUUGUAAACUGCUUUUAUAUGGGAAGAAUAAAGGAGCACGUGUGCUUG
rnacentral:rRNA from 1 species